GGACCGCAAUUUGACAAACGGAGAUUUGGGUUCAAUACCUAAACCACUGAGGAAAGUCCGCCCACUUUUGUGGCCACCUGCGAUAGCAGGGCAGGGAAACCUGCGGCAACAGCUCAGAAACGAAACCACCUCUUGGUAGGAUGAUGGGUGCGAAGUCCUGGGUGACUGGGAUGAGUUAACCCCCUGACAUUCCUUGAGGAAGGGAUUAAACGGCUAGCCCUGGUCUGUGCAAGUCUUUAAGACGCUAAGUUUAAUGUCAAAACAGAGCAUCGCAUUGGCUUAUUGCUUAAUGUUCGGCUCUGACAGAAGGCGGCUUAUUGCGGUCC
rnacentral:RNase_P_RNA from 1 species